rnacentral:rRNA from 1 species
UACGUAGGGUGCGAGCGUUAAUCGGAAUUACUGGGCGUAGAGCGUGCGUAGGCGGUUCGUUAAGUCAGCUGUGAAAGCCCCGGGCUCAACCUGGGAAUUGCGGUUGAAACUGGCGAACUAGAAUCUGGCAGAGGGGGGUGGAAUUCCACGUGUAGCAGUGAAAUGCGUAGAGAUGUGGAGGAACACCGAUGGCGAAGGCAGCCCCCUGGGCUGAGAUUGACGCUCAGGCACGAAAGCGUGGGGAGCAAACAGG